rnacentral:rRNA from 1 species
CCUACGGGAGGCUGCAGUGGGGAAUAUUGGGCAAUGGAGGAAACUCUGACCCAGCAACGCCGCGUGAAUGAUGAAGGUCUUCGGAUUGUAAAGUUCUUUUGUCGGGGAGCUAAAGACGCCACGCGUGGCGUUCCGAGAGUUCCCGAAGAAAAAGCAUCGGCUAAAUCCGUGCCAGCAGCCGCGGUAAUACGGAGGAAGCGAGCGUUAUCCGGAUUUAUUGGGUUUAAAGGGUGCGCAGGCGGAAGAUAAAGUCAGCGGUAAAAUUGUGAGGCUCAACCUCUUCGAGCCGUUGAAACUGGUUUUCUUGAGUGAGCGAGAGGUAUGCGGAAUGCGUGGUGUAGCGGUGAAAUGCAUAGAUAUCACGCAGAACUCCGAUUGCGAAGGCAGUAUACCGGCGCGCAACUGACGCUCAUGCACGAAAGUGUGGGUAUCGAACAGGAUUAGAUACCCCGGUAGUC